rnacentral:misc_RNA from 1 species
AAGUCGUAACAAGGUUUCCGUAGGUGAACCUGCGGAAGGAUCAUUAACAAAUUCAAAACUCGUGUUGUGUGUCUUUGAUGUGCUGACUGUUGUUGGUGUGUAUAAUUAUACGUAUGUAUAAUGUGCAACUAAUUUACACCAGCAUGUCAUGGCAUACUUCUAUAACACAAAUCACAUUUAUAAUAUAAUUGACAACAAAGGGAAAACCACGAAUUAAUCGUAUAAACAACUUUUAACAAUGGAUCUCUUGGCUCUC